UACGGGGGGGGCAAGCGUUGUUCGGAAUUACUGGGCGUAAAGCGCACGUAGGCGGAUUUGUAAGUCAGGGGUGAAAUCCCGAGGCUCAACCUCGGAACUGCCUUUGAUACUGCAAAUCUCGAGUCCGGAAGAGGUGAGUGGAAUUCCUAGUGUAGAGGUGAAAUUCGUAGAUAUUAGGAAGAACACCAGUGGCGAAGGCGGCUCACUGGUCCGGUACUGACGCUGAGGUGCGAAAGCGUGGGGAGCAAACAGG
rnacentral:rRNA from 1 species